rnacentral:rRNA from 1 species
GCCAGACUCCUACGGGAGGCAGCAGUGGGGGAUAUUGCACAAUGGGGGGAACCCUGAUGCAGCGACGCCGCGUGGGUGAAGGAGCGUUUCGGCGCGUAAAGCCCUAUCGGCAGGGAAGAAGGAGGACGGUACCUGACUAAGAAGCCCCGGCUAACUACGUGCCAGCAGCCGCGGUAAUACGUAGGGGGCAAGCGUUAACCGGAUUUACUGGGUGUAAAGGGGGCGCAGACGGCAGCGCAAGCCAGGAGUGAAAGCCCGGGGCCCAACCCCGGGACUGCUCUUGGAACUGCGCGGCUGGAGUGCAGGAGGGGCAGGCGGAAUUCCUGGUGUAGCGGUGAAAUGCGUAGAUAUCAGGAGGAACACCGGUGGCGAAGGCGGCCUGCUGGACUGCGACUGACGUUGAGGCCCGAAAGCGUGGGGAGCAAACAGGAUUAGAUACCCCUGUAAU